ACAAGUAUUUACAUUUUAGAACAACUUAUAUGCCUGUGCUGUGCUUGUGAACAUGGGUAUAUUUCUGAAUUUCUGAGAGCACCGCUCAUGCUUCCCGAUGCCAUGGCCCGGGAGCGUUCUGCAGUUCAAUCGGAGCUUUAGCAGAUAAUCCAUCCUCGCUGGAUGAUACGCUGAUCAUGUGGACCGAUGUACCGGGCCUUGGGACUCAGCUCUGCGAAACGGAGUUCGAAGAUAUGAGCGAAUCCCUCAUCAGUGGCAAGAGACUGGGCGAACCCAGCCUAGACAAAGAAGUAAUACGGAACUGGAGUGAGAUCGUUGCUACUGAGUAGUUCUUUGAUCGCAAGGAAAAGCAAGUACACACGAAAGGUGAAAAGUCUCGCACGGCAGGACGUUUUGGAUUUAUUAUUGGACUACAAAAACAAUUACUUUCGGAAGCUUUCGGUUCCAGUGAUUGGUAGAAAUGGGCUACCAUCUCGGCCUCUAACGCAGAUCUCGGCUCAUUGUCAAACUUUUUGGAAGAAGUGCAGCGCAAAAUUUCCGAUGAACAGCUCUGGUUCGAACAGACGGGCAUCUAUAUCGAGAUAGAGCUCUUCGGAAAUGGUGAUAAUCCCACACACAUAGUGGACAUUCCGGCCUUUAAGAAGAGUCUAUAUGUUUACCCACCGUUCAUCACGAAUCCGAAGUCUAAUAGAAAGUCAUUAAAAACAAAGCAUAUUUAAUACUAAUUUUUUAAGUGGAAAACUGAAAUCCACAUGUAAUAAAAGGAUGCUCUCUGUC